ACGAACGCUUGCGGCGUGCCUAAUACAUGCAAGUCGAACGAGAGCGACCGGUGCUUGCACUGGUCAAUCUAGUGGCGAACGGGUGAGUAACACGUGGGUAACCUGCUCAUCAGAGGGGGAUAACAUCCGGAAACGGAUGCUAAAACCGCAUAGGUCUUCGAGCCGCAUGGCUUGAAGAGGAAAAGAGGCGCAAGCUUCUGCUGAUGGAUGGACCCGCGGUGCAUUAGCUAGUUGGUGAGGUAACGGCUCACCAAGGCCGUGAUGCAUAGCCGACCUGAGAGGGUGAUCGGCCACAUUGGGACUGAGACACGGCCCAAACUCCUACGGGAGGCAGCAGUAGGGAAUCUUCCGCAAUGGACGCAAGUCUGACGGAGCAACGCCGCGUGAGUGAAGAAGGUUUUCGGAUCGUAAAACUCUGUUGUUAGAGAAGAACAAGUGCUAGAGUAACUGUUAGCGCCUUGACGGUAUCUAACCAGAAAGCCACGGCUAACUACGUG
rnacentral:rRNA from 1 species